AUAAAUACCAAUUUGGUGACAGGGAGCGAGUGUAGCGGUAGCCCCCCAAAAAAAUAUGCGCAGGAGAUGAUCGGACCGGGCUUCAAGCCAAGUAGGACUCUUUACGUUGUUACGGCCCAGCCGUUAACCACAAUAUCCUCGUCACAGUCUCUCCUGCAUCGCCGCGUACGAAGCGACCAAGAUCAGCGCGAGAGAGAGAGAGAGAGAUGGGAGGAGAAGAAACCCUAGGACAUCGAGGCUCGCUUGCAGCUCCUCUGAUCUUCGUGAUUGUUAUCGGCUUCCAGUUCCUCUCCAGAUGGCUUGAGCACUUUAAAAAAAAUAGAGGAUCCAAGAGUGCUGUCUCAAUCCAGUUGCGUGGAGAGAUAAAGCAAAUCUUGAAAGAGGCGAGCUCCUUGUCACAGCCAUCCACAUUUGCACAAGCUGCAAAACUAAGGAGGUUAGCAGCUGCCAAGGAGAAGGAACUUGCAAAUUAUCAAGAAUCAAUGAGCAAGGAAAUGAAAGUGUCUUAUGAUUUGUAUCUGAAAGUUCUAUUUCUUUCUAAGGUUUUUACCUAUUUUGUGCUCGUUUGUUGGUUUUGGAGGGUUCCUGUUGCAACCAUUUCUGAGCAACUUGUGCAACCCUUCGGGAGGGUGUUAUCUUGGAGGGCUGGAGGUACCUUAAACAACAAUGUUAUGGUUGGGAUAAUACCUUGGUUAAUACUGUCUACCAGGGUUAGCAAAUUUGUUUGUCGACUCUUCAAGUAGAAAAAGUUUAGUGGUGAUUAGUAUCUUGUCAUCAGAAUUAGUGCGUUUUUUUCUCGAAUUUCAAGGAAGAAAACGCCUGCACUGCCAUUGCUAGUAACGAGGAAGGAAGAGCUAGAGCUAGAGCUAGUGCGAAGCAGCAACAAGAAGCUGUGUUGCUUGCAGCUUCUUUUUCCCCUAUGCUUAGAUGGGGGGAUCGUGAAACGAUACGAUACGAGGGCGGAUCUUGUAACACAGCAGCCUCAUUUUAUGAACUUGUAACAUUUUUUUCAAGUCUAAACCUAUGAACUUAUAAUUUGAACAAUGCAACUUAUGAACUAUA